AACACUUAGCUAGCAACACUACAUGUUUUAGUAACACAUAUUUAUCUGAAUCAUUAUUGAAAACAUUAAAAAUUAGAUAACCAAUAUCAAAACGAAAUGGCCAAGUGUGUCGGUAUAUAUGUAAAAUUAACCCCACCACCCGAGGAGCGGGAGUGGGCAUGGAGAACAAUUCCUUUAGAGGAACGUGAAAACUCAUCCUUUAAUCCGAUCACGUGGGGAAUUCAGCAGAAAUUUAUUCCAUCCCUGGAAGGUCAGUCGCAAUUUGGAAGGAAACUUAACAAAUUUGUGCAUGACAGGGAGCAACAAGCCAAAUUGUACUCAGAUUAUGACAUAUCUCCAAUAAAAACUUGGACUUAUCAUCUAACACAACCAAUCAAAAUUACGGGGCAAGAAGUACAUGAUGCAAUUAAGGAAGAGAAAAAUUACAUUGCAACCGUCUCGGAACAUCGAGAGCCUUGGGAAAUUAUGGAAGAAGCGAUGAACCGAACUGAAAUUCAGGAAUGGUUAAACAGUGGAAAAACCUUAUUUCGUGGCUCCCAGCGACCCUUAAACAUCAUCAUGCGGCAACCCGAGUAUAAAAUCCGAUGGAGACGGGUUUCCUCACAAAUUUCCGACAUGUUUAUCCCACCUGAAGAUAUUUACUAUUCUGACGACCAAGAGUAUCAGGAGCGUACCGCUCUUGAAAAAAUCACAGAGGACAAAGUCCUCCAAUGUAACUCAGGUCAGAGGAGGGCACAAAUUUCAAAAAUAAAAAUAAUUAUGGUAAGUUCGACAUGACGGACCACGUGGGCGGUGAUGCGCGUCUAUGGUGAAACUUUGGUCAUGGCUUGACAUACUCGGGCAAAUUCUUCGUUGGAUGGGUUGGUGGUGGUUGCGACACUGUACACUCUUACGUAGAAAUCCGGUAUUACCAAGCGGUAGCAGCUUUAAAACCUGCCUGCCUAAAUCCUAUUUCUUGCAGUGUAGAUAACCCAGUUAUGACAUGAGUGUAACCUGGCGCACGACCGGAAGUAACAAGUGCCCCUUCUGCUCUGUACGACGGCGCAACUGACGUAUUUAUUCAUACGUCCAUCUCUCUGACCGUAGAUUGGUCACGCACACACAAAAAGAGAACGCAGAGCCAUCCUAGCACAGAAGAGAGGGCCCCGGUGACCAAUGAAUCCUAGUCCUUUGUCGGUUACAAAAUAGGGAAUAUUUUAGUUAAUCUGUUGGAUAUUUUUACCUAGGAGAGAAUGCCAUGCGAGUAAAAAUUUACGGGAUAUUUUAUAUCGAUCUUACAUCCAACAUUCGGUAAUGUCUCGGAAACAAUAUCAUAUUAUUUAUGUACAUAUAUACAUAUACAUAUGUAUUAACGGGCACCUUCAGAUAUACAUAUAUACAUACAUAUUUAAAGACUAUUUAUUUAUCUUAGAGUGGUCAAAAAUGCAAACCAUAAUAUUUAUCAUUGCUUAUCAUGGCUACACUUUGAAUAAAGUUGGGUAAAAUUUACGCAAAGUUUAGCAAAGUAGAGCAUGAAAUAACAAUUGGAUGAAAUUUGCCCAAGGGCUGGAUAUAAUUUGAAGAAAUGUUGUGUCAUUAGUUAUUUUUAAUUUCUCAGCUAACUAGUUUUAAUGCAAUUUUAUUUAGAGUGUAUAGCUUUCGAAAUAUUGAAGUUCAACGUGACUAAUUGUAUCUUACACAUAUUUUAUACUAGCGAAUAAGCACGUCUCCCGCCGGGCGACCGGCUUAUUUGAUUUUUGUGAAAAUUAACCGGCUUGUUCAUAAUUCCACCGAAUUAUUAUUUUUAUUUUAUCUAUAUUAUUAGCUGGAAACGACUAUUGGCAAGGGAAUUUUUCUCCACUUUCACUCCCGUCACGGAAAAUUACUUUCACUUCCGUUGCAGACAAACAUUUCUAGCUUAUAAUAUAGAUUUAGAUAUCUCUACCAUUCCGAGAUAGACUAUGGUCAGAACUGUGCCCAAGUUGGAAUUGAAUUCAAGACGAAGACGUUUUAUUUGAAUGAAAAAGAAAAACAAGGCAAUUUUUUGGAAUCGAGUUGGUUUUACAGGUACACCCUUGAAAAUAAUGUCACAUUUAAAAAAAAUAAAUGCACUCUCAAUUCUAAAUUAAUUACGAUGGCUUGAUUUACUGUACAAUUACUCUGGAUUUAGUAUUUAAUAUCGAAUUCAGAGUGCAUUUAUUUGCACAUUUCAGAAUGGAAACUUAAGAUUUAAGUGUGUAUUAUGAUAAUUAAGAUUUUAAAUUUCCAAAAGCUUUCCCUCGACUAAAUGAUAAAUUUUAGCACUUUUUUGAAAUAAAUAUAUGUAUAGGUACAAGCUGAAAGAGAUUUAUUGCAAAGCACUACUCUCAGGAUUGAAUACGGCAGUCUCUGCGAUAGUGCAAGAAGAAGAAACGGACCGAUCAGGACAAGCAGGACCAAUCACUACCAGCAACUUUGUCAUUAAAACUAUGGAGUUUUACAGUACACCUGAAAUUGCUAGAACUGCAGAAGAGAGGGGAAUUUGGACCAAGGCAGAAAACCAACAAGGGUUGGAAAGAUUUCAGACAUUCUUGAGGUCGGAUAAAUAUAUUGCAGUGACUGGUAACCCUACAACGACCUCGUUUGAAAUUGUUUGCAAGAAAACUCGCUGGGGCAACACUAGGGUUACGAUAAGUCCAUCCACAUAAGACAAUCACGCACCAAAAUACUUAAAACAAAUAUGUAAACGAAGAUGCAUUCUAAACAGUCCGUUUAAAAUGUAUUACUAUGUGGUAUUUAUACCUGUGUAUGUAUGUUACUCCAGUGCCCAAACUUGCCUGGCCCGGCCCUGGGAACUUUUCCUGGCCCGGCCCCAUUUAAUAAUUUACCAGUGAAUACAGAUCACUUAAAGAAGGAUGAAGAUAUGGUUAUUGUUUCAGUAUAGGGAAAUGGGGUUCCAAAUGCUGUGAUUGGCUGACGGUUUUUAUGGGCAUCCGCCCAUAAAAACAGGGCCGUGGCACAACUCAAUUUUUCCCAAUCUCAAUGUCCCCAUUACUUGGAAAUCUCACUCCUUUCUUGGCACCAAAAUCAGGUGUCUCCUUUACCAUCAUUCUUGCUGCCAAACUCGCAAAAGCUGAGUAAUUAAAAGAUUAUUUAAUAUCCUACAAAUUAAUUUUCUGACAUCCACUCAAUUACAUAAAUCGCUUCAACUCACCACAAGUUCAGCUCUAAACUUCAACUCAAGUAAUUACUAUUUUCUUUUAGCAAUGAACGGUGGGGACGCAAAUAUGGUGGUGACACGUUCAUUUUUACGAGUGAUUUCGAUGUUAAUUUAUUGUGGUUUAUUGGUAUAGGUAACUGCUAACGACAAUUUUUCAUCGAUUAAUUUUGCGACCUCUCUGCUGUGCCCUCACCAGAAAUCUGUGUCAUCGCCGGCCAAACUGACUCAAUUACCAUGAGAUGUUGCUCGUGACCUGGUAACAGUGUGAAAUUGUCGGAAACUUCUUUAAAGUUUACCAGAUAUAACAUUUGUGCAGAUUGUUUCCCAAUUUUGUGAUCUUUUACCCCUGCAUCCACCAGAAAUCCGUGUCUUCGCCAGUCAAUUUAUCCAAUCUAUCAGUGUGUAUCUAGAACUAAGACAAUAAUGAACGGUGGAGACACAUAAAUAUGGCUACCAAGAUGGUCAGAAUAUUUAUUUGGAUGUAACAAAUCAUCUUUUCAACAUGGUCCGAAAUAAAAAAUGCUGCGUUCCUAACUGUCAUAAUUCAUUAAAUGAAGAAGAUCACAAUUCGUACUUUUUCAGUCUGCCAAAGUGCCCGAAGAGGUGUCAGGAGUGGUGUGACAUUCUCGACAUCGAUAAGGAAAACGUGUCACCUAAAACGAUUGUAUGCAGCAAACAUUUUCAUCCACCUCCAAAACAUUGCAGACUUGUUAAAGGAGCUUUGCCGAUUGCUCCACCUCCCUUCGUGUCUUCACCAUCGUUUGUGUCUCCACCGAUGGGGGGUGGGGUGAAUCAUCAGAAGCUUUCCCCCGAGGUGAAGAAGAAGAUUAAGAGUAUAAGAAAUAAGCUUUACUACAGGAGGAAGAAGAAGGACCAGAACCUUAUUAAACUCCAGCCAGAGCGGUGAAGACGCAGCUUGAGGAAUGGUGGCCAACAGUACGCCAUCGUCAGACUUUGAUUUCUUCGCGUCCUGGUCGCGUUGACGGGCCCUCCUUCUAGUUUUGUGAUGCAAAACCGUUUUCACAUUCUCCAGCUCGUCAAGGUCACAAAUGUGGAGCAGGCGUUUGAUGAGGCCGACUCUUUAUUCUCCUCGUGCAGUCGAUGCCCAAGCCACCGCCUCAUCUUGUACCGUCCAGUCUCCCAUGAUUUCGACAAGGUGGUUGGUCAAGGCUUAAAAAAUAAUUACAAAUAAUUUAAGCAAUUAAUAAAAAAUACCAUUGCAAAGGAG